ACCUACGGGAGGCAGCAGUGGGGGAUAUUGCACAAUGGGGGGAACCCUGAUGCAGCGACGCCGCGUGGGUGAAGAAGCGCCUCGGCGCGUAAAGCCCUGUCAGCAGGGAAGAAAAUGACGAUACCUGAAGAAGAAGCCCCGGCUAACUACGUGCCAGCAGCCGCGGUAAUACGUAGGGGGCAAGCGUUAUCCGGAUUUACUGGGUGUAAAGGGGGCGCAGACGGCGAUGCAAGCCAGGAGUGAAAGCCCGGGGCCCAACCCCGGGACUGCCCUUGGAACUGCGUGGCGGGAGUGCAGGAGGGGCC
rnacentral:rRNA from 1 species